UGGGGAAUAUUGCACAAUGGGCGCAAGCCUGAUGCAGCCAUGCCGCGUGUGUGAAGAAGGCCUUCGGGUUGUAAAGCACUUUCAGCGGGGAGGAAGGCGAUAAGGUUAAUAACCUUGUCGAUUGACGUUACCCGCAGAAGAAGCACCGGCUAACUCCGUGCCAGCAGCCGCGGUAAUACGGAGGGUGCAAGCGUUAAUCGGAAUUACUGGGCGUAAAGCGCACGCAGGCGGUCUGUCAAGUCGGAUGUGAAAUCCCCGGGCUCAACCUGGGAACUGCAUUCGAAACUGGCAGGCUAGAGUCUCGUAGAGGGGGGUAGAAUUCCAGGUGUAGCGGUGAAAUGCGUAGAGAUCUGGAGGAAUACCGGUGGCGAAGGCGGCCCCCUGGACGAAGACUGACGCUCAGGUGCGAAAGCGUGGGGAGCAAACAGG
rnacentral:rRNA from 1 species